GAGCAAAAUGAACUAGAAACCAAAGACAAAUUUUCCCCCUACGAGAAACCAACCCAGCUCCUACAAAUUUUCCAAAAAAUUAAAGUACAAUCCAAAGACCCAACCCAAAAAAAAAAAGCAGAAACAGAAACACAAGGCUCCUCCUUGAUAAAUCAACGUACUAACCAGACAUGCCCCCGCCAGCGAAUCGGGGGGAUGUCGUGUAAUUACCAGGUAUUUUGUUUAAAUUCGUUAUUCUUGAUUUACGGUUGGCUUAAAGGCUGUUGAAGAAUCUCAGAAGGACACUAAUCGAGUAAGCUCUAAAAGAAAUUUUGCGAUUCCCAUUGAAUCCAGAUUGCAUUCUUCACUUCUGAAUGUUCUGAUCGCAUCUCUCUGUCUUGGAAACUUCAUUUGAAAUUAAUGUGUUGUGUACUUGAAUCUAGUUGUUGUUGUUGUUGGGAAAAUUGCAUGAGAAGCAAGGGCAAUAGUUGAGAAAUCAAGGCAGAAUCAGAGUGCCUUGAGGAAAGAGUAGGAAGACUUAAUGGAAGUUAUGUGCGACCGUGAUGGGAGCCUGUUGAUUAUGAGAAGAAAGGGGUGCUGCUCUUUAUAUCGAUUUUCCCUCUACUUUUCCUUUUUUUACAUUUGAAUGUUGUAGGUAGGCUGCUCUCUUAGAGAAGAAGAUGAUGGAAGUUAGGUUGGCUAAGUUAAGUAAUCCAGCUUUAGAUAACAAUGCCAAAGGGGACACAGGUGGAACAAUCAAUCAGUCAGUACAGGAGAGGGUCACAUGGCUGAAGAAAAGACAAAAAGAUUAACAAAUGAGAAGGUCAUAUUGGAACAGACGAUUUCUGGACUAGAAUGCAAGAAAGAUGAAGAGACAGGCACUCAAAAUGUAGGUGAAAAUCCUCAAGAAGAGCCUUGAGCAAGAAUGGAAACCCUUAAAGCUUUUUCAAGUCUCCGAGCUUGAAAAGGGUUACAAAAGAGUUGGCUGUUGCAGAUUUUGCUGCAGUGCAGAAUGAUUAGAGGAACCGAGGGGAAUGAAAGAGGAUAUUGAUAGAAAGAAUGAGCAAACUGCUGCUAUCUUGAAGAUGCAAGGGGAAAGGUGGAGGGUUUCUUAAGAGUGAUGCAGAUACAGAUUAAUUCUGCUGGAAAAUCAAGUUCGAGAAAAGUUCACAUUUGAGGAUAUGUUGUGUUUCCAAAAGGCAAAACUUGAUCAAAGAAUGGGAGCUGAUGUAUUUAUGUGCAUCCUCCAUGCCUCCUAUCAAAGUCAUAGGUGGAUAUUUAUCUGAGUAUGUUCACAAUGUAGCGCACGGUGCAAGCACCGACUCUGAGGUCCAAACUCUUGCACUAAAUACGUUCAAUGCUUUGAAGCAUUCUGUCAAAGCUGGCCUCUGUAUUACAAUACCAGCACGUCAGGAGAUUGAAAGCUAACAACUAUAGUGUUUUACUUGGAUGAAAUUUUUGGAGAAAUAAUUCAGAAAACAUGGCAACGACUGUGCCUGAUGCUGUAGAGGAGAUUCAGGGUAUAAUUAGGCUUUCAACUUAUUCGAGCUUCAGCCUGUUUGAAUGACGUAAAGUUGUUACAGGUUCCAAGUCUCCUGAUCCAGGGAAUGAGGAAUACAUUGGGUUAGAUGAUAAUAAAUAUAUUGCCGAUUUGCUGGCGGAAUUCAAGGCAGCUAAAGGGGAAAUAUUACACUGUAAACUCAUAUUUACAAAGAAGCCAUUUCAGGAGUCAAAUGAAGUGGUAACGGACCCAAUGUUUGUACAGCUGUCCUAUUUUCAGGUAUGUGAUCUGGUUUGAAUCAGUGUACAACAGCUUUAACAUGAUUGAUAUAUUUCUAAACUGAUACUUUAUACCGCUACGACAUGUUUAUAUUUUGGGCAAUUAUCCUAAUGGAAGGGAUGAUGCUGCACAUUGUCUGCUUUGCAGCUCUUGGUUGAGAUCGGAUUCGUUGGUAGCCCUGAAUUGUGCACAUAAGUUCUCUUAUCCAGACUUCCUUUUGUCUAGCUAUUUGAACUUCCAAUACAUGUAUCGAUACUGUUUUAUUUCCUACUGUUUUUGGUGUCAUAAGCAUUACUGAAUUGUUCUUUCGCUUUGGGGAUUUGAGUUUUAAGAAAAUUUGCUGAGUAAGGUAAUAUCAUUUCAGUCACUAGAAUACUUUAUGAUGCCUCUAUCUAUUAAACAUUUACUCGCAAAAUUAAUUUU